AACCAAAACAAAACAACACAAAAGUCAAUUCUAAAGUAACAUCCACACAUACCGCAAGCAAGACUCCUCGCUAUACUGCAAAAUUUCUCUCUUAUAUUAUCUUCUUCUUCUUUGUUUACGUGUUCCGUUUUCUUUCUCUUCCUCUCGCUCUCUCGAUCCGUUGAUUAUUCCAUUUCCAGAUCUAUGGCCGGCCAGAAAAAUGAUUAUGGAAAGAGAUCCAAUUCGCAAUAUGACUACGGCGGAGGCAAGCGGAGGAACCCUGGCGACGAUGGCGACCAGCCGCAUACGAUUGGGAGUGAAGACACCGUCUACCGCUACUUAUGUCCGUUGAGAAAGAUUGGGAGUAUUAUUGGCCGAGGUGGUGAGAUAGCGAAGCAAUUGAGGUCAGAGAGUAAAUCGAACAUUAGAAUUAGCGAGGCUAUGCCCGGAUUUGAGGAGCGCAUUGUUACUAUUUAUAGCUCUAACGAGGAGACUAAUCUUUUUGGAGAUACUGGCGAGUUUGUUUCCCCUGCUCAGGAUGCUCUUUUCAUGGUUCAUGAUAGGAUUGUUGCUGAGGACUUGCCUCCUAGUAAUGAUGAAGAUGAUGAAUUUGGAGAGCCUCAACAGGUUACUGUUAGGAUGCUUGUGCCUUCUGAUCAGAUUGGCUGUGUUAUUGGGAAAGGUGGACAGGUGAUUCAGAAUAUACGGAGCGAAACUCGUGCUCAGAUUCGUAUUUUAAAGGAUGAGCAUCUGCCUCCUUUGGCUUUCAGUAGCGAUGAGCUACUUCAGAUAAUUGGAGAACCUGCUGUUGUUAGAAAGGCUCUUUAUCAAGUGGCUUCUCGCCUUCAUGACAAUCCAUCCAGAUCCCAGCAUUUGCUUUUGUCUUCCUCAACCAACAUUUAUCAAUCUGGUAGCAUGUUUGUGACUGCCAAUGCUGGUACCCCUUUAAUGAGUCUUUAUGGUAAUUACAAAGGUGGCUGGUCAUCGUCUUUGUACUCUGAUCAGAGAGAUGAAGCUUCUGCUAAAGAGUUCUCUCUUCGUUUGGUGUGUCCUAUUGGAAAUAUCGGAGGUGUGAUUGGAAAAGGUGGUGGUAUCAUUAAGCAAAUUCGUCAGGAAUCUAGGGCAUCGAUUAAAGUUGAUAGUUCUGGUGCUGAAGGAGAUGAUUGCAUUAUAUUUAUAUCAGCAAAGGAGUAUUUUGAAGAUCAAUCUGCAACACUCAAUGCAGCACUGCGCCUGCAACCACGCUGCAGUGAGAAAACUGAAAGGGAGUCAGGUGACUCUGUAGUUACCACUCGUCUACUUGUACCAAGAUCACAGAUUGGAUGCCUCAUGGGUAAAGGAGGGGCUAUUAUUUCUGAGAUGAGAAGUGUAACACGGGCAAGCAUCCGAAUCCUCUCAGAGGAAAAUCUUCCCAAGGUUGCUUCUGAUGAUGAUGAGAUGGUGCAGAUCACCGGCAGCCUUGAUGUUGCUAGCAAUGCCCUCUCACAUGUUGUUUUGAGGUUGAAAGCCAAUUUAUUUGGGAGGGAUGGAGCCCUAACUGCAUUUCCACCAACUCUUCCAUAUAUUCCUGUUUCAGUGGACAUGUUAGAUGGUCCGAAAUAUGGGAAUCGAGAAAGUCAAUCACGCGGACGCGGAUACUCCUCAUCUGGUGGUUAUAGUUCACGUGAUUUGCCUGCAACUGACAAUUAUGGAAGUAAUGGUAGUUCACUGAGUGGUGGUGAAAGUGCUUACGGAGCAUAUGGUGGUGGCUUCUCUUCUGGUCGUUCUGGUGGUGGGGGGUUAUCUGGUCAAAACUCAGUUAACCAAAGAAAGCAUCAUGGAUAUUAGUCCCAUAUUAUAUGGCCAACAGGUUUGUUUCUUAAAGCUUUGGGAAAAUCACAAUCAGGGCUAUGGUUUGCCUGAGAGGUAAUUGUGCAUAUUCCUCUUUGAGUUGAUUGACAGAUUGCUGACUUGGUGAAGAUAAAGUCAGGUCAAGGGGUAUUAAAUCAUGGUUUCCUUGACCAGGAGGUAUGUUUUUCUGCAACUAGUAAAGUAGUUAUUACUAAUUAAUUACUGAGCUGGAUGUUCCCAUCAAACAUAACCUAACUGCAAAUGAGAAUUUAGAUGAUUGAGAUCAAACAAUAGAAAUAUAGUCAUGUGAUAUCACAUCAAUUAUUUGGACAAAAUUUUGAUUUGAAAAAGCAAAGGGAAAAGUGAUGUGUCCCACAUCGCCCGCGGAGUACAUCCUUGGCUAGUGUAUAAAGCUGGGUUCAGUCCUUCCCCUACGAGCUAGCUUUUGGGAUGAAGUUAGAGGUCCAGAUCCUUAUCAUUUGGUAUCAAAGCUCUGGCUUCAUAGGGUCGGUGUCUCAUGGGGUUCGUCAGAACGCCGACUGAGGUAGUCGGGUCUUAUGGGGGUGGGGAUGAUGCGUCCCACAUCGCCCGUGGAGUACAUCCUAGGCUAGUGUAUAAGGUUGGGUUCAGUCCUUCCCCUACAAGCUAGCUUUUGGGGCGAAGUUAGGGGUCCAGAUCCUUAUCAAAAAGUUUCUAAUUUUUAGUUUGAAACUUACACUUCAUUAGGACAUUGCAUGCUCAUCCUUCAAUGGCACAUUUGUAGGGUAAUAAGUGAUCUAAAUGCGAGGGAAAAUGAUAAAAAGAAUAAUGCCCAAGGAGUAAUAUAACUGCUCUUCUAUAGGGUCUCAUUGCAUGAAUAUAACAUGAAAUGCUCAUUAUCUUACAGAGUGAAACACAAUGGAACGAAGAGCGUGGUUAUAUGCUAGCCUGUAGUUUUUGAUAGUCUGUUUUUGUCUAUUUGCCAGAUUAGUAUAGUUGUGCCGAUUAAUUUCUUUUCUAAAUUUUGAUGUGAUAGAUUUCAUGGUCUUGCUGAUGCAUAUUUGUGUACAUGUUUGCAAAGUGCAAACAGCAGUUUGAUUUAGUUGCAUUCUAUGGUUGAGCAUAAUUUGAAGAUGCUGAUUUGCAAUGGCUGUGCAUUUCAAUUUUGCAUCCCUCCAAUGUCAUUAUAUUUAUUUGCCUGUACUAUUAAUUUCUAUUCUAAUUUGAAGGUCCUUUUUUUUUUUCCUUUUGUUGGCUACAACAUUUUCUUUUUCAUUGAAUUUGACUGCAAUUAAGCUUUCAGAAGCCAAUUUCGCUUUGACUGUUCGACAGACAUUUAGUGCAGGUGGUUUUAUUAAGUGAAGAACAAAUGCCAGAUAAAUUAACUAGUAGUUUGAUAUAUUGUAUGUUUAAAUGCAAUUUUAGUUCGUUUUUUAUCA